GACGAACGCUGGCGGCGUGCUUAACACAUGCAAGUCGAACGGAAAGGCCCUGCUUUUGUGGGGUGCUCGAGUGGCGAACGGGUGAGUAACACGUGAGUAACCUGCCCUUGACUUUGGGAUAACUUCAGGAAACUGGGGCUAAUACCGGAUAGGAGCUCCUGCUGCAUGGUGGGGGUUGGAAAGUUUCGGCGGUUGGGGAUGGACUCGCGGCUUAUCAGCUUGUUGGUGGGGUAGUGGCUUACCAAGGCUUUGACGGGUAGCCGGCCUGAGAGGGUGACCGGCCACAUUGGGACUGAGAUACGGCCCAGACUCCUACGGGAGGCAGCAGUGGGGAAUAUUGCACAAUGGGCGGAAGCCUGAUGCAGCAGCGCCGCGUGCGGGAUGACGGCCUUCGGGGUGUAAACCGCUUUCGCCUGUGACGAAGCGUGAGUGACGGUAAUGGGUAAAGAAGCACCGGCUAACUACGUG
rnacentral:rRNA from 1 species